UACGAAGGGUGCAAGCGUUACUCGGAAUUACUGGGCGUAAAGCGUGCGCAGGCGGUUCGUUGUGUCGGCGGUGAAAGCCCCGGGCUCAACCUGGGAAUGGCAAUGGAUACUGGCAGGCUAGAGUGCGGUAGAGGGUAGUGGAAUUCCCGGUGUAGCGGUGAAAUGCGUAGAGAUCGGGAGGAACACCAGUGGCGAAGGCGGCUACCUGGACCAGCACUGACACUGAG
rnacentral:rRNA from 1 species